rnacentral:rRNA from 1 species
CCUACGGGAGGCAGCAGUGAGGAAUAUUGGUCAAUGGACGAGAGUCUGAACCAGCCAAGUAGCGUGAAGGAUGACUGCCCUAUGGGUUGUAAACUUCUUUUAUAUGGGAAUAAAAUGUUCCACGUGUGGGAUUUUGUAUGUACCAUGUGAAUAAGGAUCGGCUAACUCCGUGCCAGCAGCCGCGGUGAUACGGAGGAUCCGAGCGUUAUCCGGAUUUAUUGGGUUUAAAGGGAGCGUAGGUGGAUUGUUAAGUCAGUUGUGAAAGUUUGCGGCUCAACCGUAAAAUUGCAGUUGAAACUGGCAGUCUUGAGUACAGUAGAGGUGGGCGGAAUUCGUGGUGUAGCGGUGAAAUGCUUAGAUAUCACGAAGAACUCCGAUUGCGAAGGCAGUUCACUGGACUGCAACUGACACUGAGGCUCGAAAGUGUGGGUAUCAAACAGGAUUAGAUACCCCUGUAGUC